AAGCGUUUACCCUGUUAUUUCGCUCGCAUUUCGGUGAAUUUGACUGUCAUGUAGCCCUAAAUUUGGAUUUCCACCUUUGUUGAGAUGAGCACCGGCGGAUUUGCGCCGCGUGUCAAUGAUGGAGUAAAAGCCCGUGGUUGAAAAGUUAAAAAUUGGAUGUUAAAACCGGGGUUAUAUUUCUUGCGAUUUACCCCCGGGUGAAGUAUAUUGUGGCUCAUUGCAUUCUGUUCGUCCAUGGGCAGAGGCUGUUUAUAAGGCUAUUAUUUUGUGGACGCAGGCUUGGAUUAGUAAUAAAUCGGUCUGUUCAACAGCAAAAUUCUCGAUUUUGAUCACUGUUUUAUGCUGUGGCGAAUUGAGCCUUUUUCGGGCUUUCGAUCGAUGAGUUUUUCGGCCAAACCGGCGCCUAUUUGUUUGCAGAGGAGUUGCCCGGGUUUUUUUCAUGGUAUUAAGCCCUUCAGGUUUUCUUCUGCCUUGCUGUAUUUGAACAGCUUAUUAGGCGAGCGGUUUCAUGGAGGAUCCUCUGGUUCGAGGCCUCAGAAGGGUGUGCAGAGCUAUUUAAGUGAUUGGUGUAGAUGAUGGGCAGAAUGCCAGAAUGUUUGACGAUAGGUUUGUAGGAAACCUCUGAUUUUAAUGCGUAUAAAGGAUGCGGCAGCUGUGGGAAACAUACAGUAAAGGAUUGUUGUCAUUAGGGAAUUUAAGAAGGUGUGCAGAGACAUUUUAUAGGAAGAACUUUGAGCUGUUGAACUUUCAAGUGCUGGAUAGUUAUUAUGCAAAAGUAUUGUAAGGUGUUUGAAAAGCCGUUCAGAAAACCAUGGGCGCCAAGCGAUUUGUGGAGUGGGAGGAGCAAUUCGUUUCCCACGACCGCGGCAGCCGUAUUGUGCACUAUUAUCUUAAAGAUCAGAGCGGGCAUUCGGUUUUGGCGGUUGAAGGCACGGAGAGGAGCCUGAGGCAUAUGGUCUACGUCGUAUCACAGGAGUUCCUUGAUCUUCCUGGCCUGGCCAAGCCCUCCAACUCUUCGUUCAAAUGGAGAUCGAGAAGAGAAGUUGUGGACUGGCUGACAUCCUUGCUUUCAAAGGGCGAUUACGCAACGAAAUUCAAGCAUGAGGCGUCGCGAACCUCAGACACUGAUCUUUCAAAUGAGGAAGAAGUGGAUGAGCUGGACAGCUGUGUUAAUAAUUACAAGGAUAAAUUUUCGAGGAAGAUCAGAGCAACCAGCAAGGGUAUUACAUGGCUAGGUUCUUCUUGGACUUGUAGAAAGCGCUUGAGGCAUUAUGAGUCCUUUCGGCGAAGUGGCAUUACAAUUUCGGUUAAUAAUUAUGUCUAUGUCAUGGCUGAAGAAAAAGUUCAUCAUAUAGCAUAUUUGGAAGAUAUGUAUGAAGACAAGAAAGCACAGAAGAAAGUCAGGGUCCGCUGGUUUCACCGAACUAAUGAAGUGAAUGGACCUAUCCCCCCUCCACAAGCUCGUGAGGCAGAAGUUUUCAUCACCCCAUUUCGUCAAGUUCUAAGUGUUGAAUGUGUUGAUGGUCAGGCUACAAUACUUACUCCUGAGCACUAUGAGAAAUGUUUGGCGAAAUUCCCACCUCAGGCAAUGGGUCAAAUUCAUGUCUGCUUUAGACAGUUUGAUAACGAGGGGAUCAAGUCUUUUAGCCUAAAUGAGAUGCAAGGUUAUUGGCAUCAAAGAAUCCUUAAAAGUAUUGAUUUGGCUGAUCUGCAAGAUUAUUCUAAACAGGAGCUUAGUGACAGCUUUGAUCUGGAUGAAGAUACCGCCUCUGGGAGAGCACUACAUAAAUAUCCAAGAAAAAAUAGAUGUACCCGAAAGCGUCUUGGUGCUUCUGAUCGUGUCUAUGGGAGAAAACCAGGAGAAAAAAAUAAAGUCAAGUCAGGAAACAUAUAUAGACAAGUAAUGGAUGGUGGAGCAGACAGAGAUUUAGACAAAUGCAUAUCUGAAAAAAGAUACUCUUCAUUGGGCCUCAGUGAAAGCAGGAAAAUAGAUAGUGCAUGUGAGCAGCAAUUCAAGUCCUUUGAUAUUGGUGAGAAGAUUGAAUUGCUCUGUCAAGACAGUGGCAUCAGAGGUUGUUGGUUUAGAUGCACAAUAAUAAAAAAGGUUCCUCAUCGAAUUAAGGUUUUGUACAAAGAUGUGCUGAAUGAAGAUGGGAGUGGCAAUCUACAGGAAUGGGUUCCUUCUUGUAGAAUAGCCAUUCCAGAUAAGCUGGGUAUGAGACUAACUGGCCGUCCUACCAUUCGGCCUUGCCCACCUGAAAAUAUACUUGGCAAUUUUGAAGUUGGAACUGCAGUAGAUGCUUGGUGGAAUGAUGGCUGGUGGGAAGGAGUUGUAGUUAUGGACAAGGAACUGACUGAUGAAUUGCAUGUAUUCUUUCCUGGUGAAAAUGUGUCUUCAAUAUUCAAGAAGUGUGAUUUGCGGCCUUCGCGAGAGUGGGCAGAUAACCAGUGGAUUGAUUUGAAAAAGAAUGCAGAUCUGGCUACAAAACUGGUUUUAUCUGACAGCAGACAGGGACUUGACAUUGUGGGUUUGUGUUCAUCUCUAUUGAGUGAUAAUUUUUCUGCGUAUGUAUAUUCAGGUGAGUUACAAGAUCUGGCUGACUUAUCAGAUAGGAAACUAUGUAUAAUUUCUCAAGUUGCAGCAAGAGAAUCAAGGAAGUUAGAAAUGGCACAAAAUGCUCAGAAGGAUGAAGAGACUACUGUGACAGUGGAUGUGAAAGAAGAAUUAUUGUCCGAUUAUGCAUGUGGUGAUCAUGAUAAUCUUGUCAAUGCUUCAGUGUGUAAGAACAUGGAUUUGCAUGAAUGUUUUUGCAAUUUGGAUGCUUCUAGGAUGUUGAUCUCAUCACCAAAGGACAGUGUAGAUGGCACUAUAAAACAGGGGAGCCCUAUGAACCUGGAGAGCAACAAGAAAGAAAUUUGUUGUCCACCUAAGACUAGGUUGCGUGGUGGCUUAAGAUGGAAAUCAUCUAGGAAGCGACAACGUGCUGGAGACUCUACUUUAUUAUCAAGAUCCACAACUUGUUGUGGAGAGGAGUCAAAACGGAUAAGAAAGUUGGUAGAUAAACCUGACAUAAGCAAUGGCAGGGAACCACUGUUAGAAAGCUCUGAAGAUAUGCCAGAAAGACAGGAAGAAAUAGUUGAUGUGAAAACCUUGAAGAAAGGGCAUGAUAAUCUGAAGCCCACUCAUGGUUCAUCUUUAAGUGACACUCUCUUCAUAAGUUCAAUGCCCGUUGCUAACCUUGUGAUGUCAAGGUGAUUGAUUGUGUUGCUGAUGGCCUUGUAAUAUUAAUUAAGUCGAUAGAAUUUCUUUUAUCCACUGAAAGCUGGAAAGCAUGGCAGGCCAGAUAACAUUCUGGGAGCGAGAAGAGAUUUUAAAGAGCACUCCGGAGUUGCUUUCUAAGGUUGCAAUCUCUGAUGAAUAUGGGAACUUCAAUGUCGGUGUUGCUUUGAACAUGGUCUAGCGCAUAGCUGUACAAAUUAUGUUUGAAAUUUAUAGGUUAUGCUCUGUGAUACCUGCUCAAGGACAUUCAAAAUUUCAAAGCCUUUUCAACAUGAUUGCCAUUUGGCGGCAUUGGAUUGUGCCAGAGUCCAGGCACACAGAAGACUAUGAUGAAGCAAGCUUACUUUGUAUCAAUCUUAUCCUUGUGUAGAUAAACAGAAGACUAUGAUGAAGCAAGCCUACUAUGUAUCAAUCUUAUCCUUGUGUAGAGAAACAGAAGACUAUGAUGAAGCAAGCUUACUAUGUAUCAAUCUUAUCCUUGUGUAGAGAAAGUCUGUAUUUUGGUCUCUACUAUCCUGGGUAACUUGACAAGAAAUUUAGUUAAAGAUAUUAUCAAAAUUCUGCCAGGGAAUCUAUAGGUUUUGUUAGACUUCAAUGGGUUGUGAGGGCUUUACUGUUGGGCACGCUCUUGGUUGAAAUUUGGUGUAUUCUGCUGUUUCAAUUAUGCUGGAGUUACAUUACAUUUGUCGAUGAUCUCUAUGCAAUGAUGAUUUCUUGUAUGAAUCUUAGUUUAGAGUUUCAACUGCAAUACUGUCUUCUGCAAGAGUUAGGGAGGCUGGAGAACAUAAUGAAUGUCAUAGCUUUCCAGUGUCAGUUCCAUUGAAAAUUAGGACUGUUUAUCUGAUGACUUUCCAUGGGAAGUGUGGUCAAAUUCUUUGUGCUGAAAUGCAAGGACUUGACAAUAUUAGGAGAAGGGAACGGACUAUCAUAAUGAUUGGAGUUUUAAUUCCAGUCUUCUUUGAACUUAGCAUACAAUCAGGAAAGCCACAGCUGCCAGAGGGCAUGGUUCUGUGCAACAGAGCAGGGUCUUGAGAUUGUGUCCAGGUAGCAUGUAAUGCUUUCAACUUAAAAUUGGACUCUUGAGACUACACUUGGCUGCAAGCACCCAAUGACCACACUGCUCAAUGAUGUGGGGCUCAAACACAAGGAUUGGAUUAUUAAUUUAUUUGCACUUGGUGCUCAGUCAUUAUGCAGAGACAUUAACAGCUGUAACAUCCUCCUUAUUGUCAGAAUGGAUAUUGCAGAUUUUUGGAUUGUCAAAGAUGGAACGUUUGGAUGGAACUACACAUGUAUCCACAUUUGUAAAGGGCAAAACUGGAUGUGUAGAUCUUGAGUAAUUGGGCUUUAAAGUAAUUU